rnacentral:rRNA from 1 species
ACUCAAAUGAAUAGACGGGGGCCCGCACAAGCAGUGGAGUAUGUGGUUUAAUUCGAAGCAACGCGAAGAACCUUACCAGGGUUUGACAUCCCUUGACGGCUGUAGAGAUACAGAAUCCCUUCGGGGCAAGGAGACAGGUGGUGCAUGGUUGUCGUCAGCUCGUGUCGUGAGAUGUUGGGUUAAGUCCCGCAACGAGCGCAACCCUUGUUGUUAGUUGCCAGCACGUAAAGGUGGGCACUCUAGCGAAACUGCCGGCGACAAGUCGGAGGAAGGUGGGGACGACGUCAAAUCAUCAUGCCCCUUAUAUCCUGGGCUACACACGUACUACAAUGGCUGUAACAGAGGGAAGCGAAGGAGCAAUCCGGAGCAAAUCCCCAAAAGCAGCCUCAGUUCAGAUUGUGGGCUGCAACCCGCCCACAUGAAGUCGGAAUUGCUAGUAAUGGCAGGUCAGCAUACUGCCGUGAAUACGUUCCCGGGCCUUGCACACACCGCCCGU